GCUGGCAAGUGUUACUACGCCUCUAGAAAGUAAGCCAAAGUGAAAAAAAAGGGAAUCUUAACUACAUGCAGGAAAGGAUUACUGAAAUAUACUGUCCUCUUUGUUUCCUGGAAAACUGAAACUGCAUUUAUGGCCUCCGACCUUUGGAAAGAUGGCCCCAGAAGAAAACCAGCUACCUAAGAGUUAAUAUAUGCAACGUACUGACACCAGAAGAUCUAACUAAGUCAGAAUGUCUCAGUUACAGUCCAGAUUUCUAUUUAUUACCUACCUCACCGAGAAAGACAAGUAAAGAAUAACUGAUAAAAAAGAAAGAGGGGACAUGAUAUCUAGCCCACAAAAUCCAUAAUAAAGUAGAGAAGUGCUGAGGAUCUUCCAGUUCACCGAGUGCAUUGUGGAUGGCAUGAGCAUGCCUUUCCCCUCUGCUUGCCUGAUGCCAAGGGUCGGACAGGUCAUCCUGAGCCAUGGUUUGAAGACCAGAAGAGGAACUGUUCUAGUCCUUCAGUGCCGUUUCUAUCAAGAUAAAGUCCCAGACCAGCCCCCAAGUUACAGCCAUGGAAACAAAUACUGAUGGGGAGAUGCUGAGCACGUUACGUGAGCCCACACAGGACCUCAGUAAGCACUUAAGAAAUCCUAGCUCUUUGGGCAUUUUUCAGGUGCUCAAAUUCCCUUUCCUCUCUUGUAAAGCACUUUGAAUGUUGUCCUGGAUGGUUCACGGAGUGGCUCUGACCUUAGCGUGCCUCCAAGGUGUAAAGCUCUGUUGUCACGGUUGCCUUCAUGUGACAUUCAUGGCUACAGCUCUUUCACCUGACCCUGGGGUGGAUAUGGUCAUGCCCACGUUCAAUGCCGUGUGUUGGAUGCUGGCUUCCCCAAGGCUCAAUUUGAGCUGUCAGUCUGGAGGAGUCAUGUUGUGCAAUGGUGUUAGAGCACAGUGAUGGUGUUCGUGCAGUCGAGCUCAAGAUAAAUAUCUGGGAAGAAAACUGCCCUGUGAUGGUAGCUCCGUGCAUACCUCCUUUGGGACAAAAGGUGCUUCUCCAGUAGCAUUUCCCCUUGGCCCAGGAGUGCCCUUUAAGUAAAUUCUCCAUCUGACCCCGCUUACUGUGCUGUGCAGCACGAGGCAAUCUUGGAGCACGCAAAGUGAGUGCUCGUGUGCAGAGUUAACCACGUGAUGCAGCUAGCAGGCUUUCAGUCAAUUGGAGCACACCAGACCUCAUCCAAGUAAGACUCUGACAUGCAGUGACCUAGGCCCAGUCCCUGCUCUUCCGUGCCCAGUGUAGGCGUGCCUUUAUUUACCUGUGUGCCAAGUAAAGUGUGGUCCCCAGGUCCCUAUCCAAGUAGUUAGGGGAAGCUCUUAAUAUGGCUGGGAAGGCAUUUGAAAUAGCCUGAAAAACUUGCAUGAGGAAACUGCACUGGUUUAUGUAUAACUCCAUCAGUUUCUCUCCAAUGGAAAUAAUAUUUCUGAGUUUAAAUGUUAUGUAAAAGAGGUUCUAUAGGGGAAUAUAACAGUCCGGAAAUGUUUUGUUAAGAAAUGCUACUGAUGCAAACCUUUAAAGGGUAACACUGUGCAUGGCUACAAUACCAUAUUCUGUUUAAACUUGUUCAUCAUUGUCUUCUUGCAUGACAGCCCUGGCAUUUAAAAUAUGUUAGGGGUGACACAAUACUUUCACCUGGUGCAGACAUAUAUCACUGGAAGGAUGUUCUCAUAAACAAAGUGCUGCAGGCUAUGA